rnacentral:misc_RNA from 1 species
GAUGAAGAACGUAGCAAAAUGCGAUAAGUAAUGUGAAUUGCAGAAUUCAGUGAAUCAUCGAAUCUUUGAACGCACAUUGCGCCCGCUGGUAUUCCGGCGGGCAUGCCUGUUCGAGCGUCAUUUCAACCCUCAAGCCCCCGGGUUUGGUGUUGGGGAUCGGCUCUGCCCUUCUGGGCGGUGCCGCCCCCGAAAUACAUUGGCGGUCUCGCUGCAGCCUCCAUUGCGUAGUAGCUAACACCUCGCAACUGGAACGCGGCGCGGCCAUGCCGUAAAACCCCAACUUCUGAAUGUUGACCUCGGAUCAGGUAAGAAUACCCGCUGAACUUAAGCAUAUCAAUAAGCGGAGGA